ACAUAUCAAUAAGCGGAGGAAAAGAAACCAACCGGGAUUGCCCUAGUAACGGCGAGUGAAGCGGCAAGAGCUCAAAUUUGAAAGCUGGCCCCCUCGGGGUCCGCAUUGUAAUUUGCAGAGGAUGCUUCGGGAACGGCCCCCAUCUAAGUGCCCUGGAACGGGCCGUCAUAGAGGGUGAGAAUCCCGUCUGGGAUGGGGUGGCCGCGCCCGUGUGAAGCUCCUUCGACGAGUCGAGUUGUUUGGGAAUGCAGCUCUAAUUGGGUGGUAAAUUUCAUCUAAAGCUAAAUAUUGGCCGGAGACCGAUAGCGCACAAGUAGAGUGAUCGAAAGAUGAAAAGCACUUUGAAAAGAGAGUUAAACAGCACGUGAAAUUGUUGAAAGGGAAGCGCUUGCGACCAGACUCGCCCGCGGGGUUCAGCCGGCACUCGUGCCGGUGUACUUCCCCGCGGGCGGGCCAGCGUCGGUUUGGGCGGCCGGUCAAAGGCCUCUGGAAGGUAACGCCUCUCGGGGCGUCUUAUAGCCAGGGGUGCCAUGCGGCCUGCCCGGACCGAGGAACGCGCUUCGGCUCGGACGCUGGCAUAAUGGUCGUAAGCGACCCGUCUUGAAACACGGACCAAGGAGUCUAACAUCUACGCGAGUGUUCGGGUGUCAAACCCGUGCGCGCAGUGAAAGCGAACGGAGGUGGGAACCCCCCGGGGUGCACCAUCGACCGAUCCUGAUGUCUUCGGAUGGAUUUGAGUAAGAGCGUAGCUGUUGGGACCCGAAAGAUGGUGAACUAUGCCUGAAUAGGGCGAAGCCAGAGGAAACUCUGGUGGAGGCUCGCAGCGGUUCUGACGUGCAAAUCGAUCGUCAAAUUUGGGUAUAGGGGCGAAAGACUAAUCGAACCAUCUAGUAGCUGGUUCCUGCCGA
rnacentral:rRNA from 1 species